rnacentral:rRNA from 1 species
UACGUAGGGUGCAGGCGUUAAUCGGAAUUACUGGGCGUAAAGCGUGCGCAGGCGGUCUGCUAAGACAGGUGUGAAAUCCCCGGGCUUAACCUGGGAACUGCGCUUGUAACUGGCAGGCUUGAGUGUGGCAGAGGGGGGUGGAAUUCCAGGUGUAGCAGUGAAAUGCGUAGAGAUCUGGAGGAACACCGAUGGCGAAGGCAGCCCCCUGGGCUAACACUGACGCUCAUGCACGAAAGCGUGGGGAGCAAACAGG